UACGUAGGGUGCAAGCGUUAAUCGGAAUACUGGGCGUAAAGCGUGCGCAGGCGGUUUUGUAAGUCUGACGUGAAAGCCCCGGGCUUAACCUGGGAAUUGCGUUGGAGACUGCAAGGCUUGAAUCUGGCAGGAGGGGGUAGUAAUCCACGUGUAGCAGUGAAAUGCGUAGAGAUGUGGAGGAAUACCGAUGGCGAAGGCAGCCUCCUGGGCCAACACUGACGCUCAUGCACGAAAGCGUGGGGAGCAAACAGG
rnacentral:rRNA from 1 species